UACGGAGGGUGCAAGCGUUAUCCGGAUUCACUGGGUUUAAAGGGUGCGUAGGCGGCUUGUUAAGUCAGGUGUGAAAGUUUGCGGCUCAACCGUAAAAUUGCUUUUGAUACUGGCAGGCUAGAAUUAGGAUGAGGUUAGCGGAAUGUGGCAUGUAGCGGUGAAAUGCAUAGAUAUGCCAUAGAACACCAAUUGCGAAGGCAGCUGGCUAGACCUAUAUUGACGCUGAGGCACGAAAGCGUGGGGAGCGAACAGG
rnacentral:rRNA from 1 species